GUGGACCGGCAUGUUUAAGCUCCACCCUCUGUGAAAUUCUAGGGUUAAUCAUUGAUGCCUUUGGAGAUCUGAGGGAUCAGCAGGAACAAGUGAAAGAAGACAUGGAGACCAAAUGUUUUAUCUGUGGAAUAGGUAAUGACUACUUUGACACCGUGCCACACGGCUUUGAAACGCACACUCUACAGGAGCACAACUUAGCCAACUACCUAUUCUUUCUGAUGUAUCUCAUCAACAAAGAUGAAACAGAGCACACAGGCCAGGAGUCUUACGUAUGGAAAAUGUACCAGGAACGUUGUUGGGAGUUUU